rnacentral:rRNA from 1 species
GAUGAACGCUGGCGGCGUGCCUAAUACAUGCAAGUCGAGCGAACAGACGAGGAGCUUGCUCCUCUGACGUUAGCGGCGGACGGGUGAGUAACACGUGGAUAACCUACCUAUAAGACUGGGAUGACUUCGGGAAACCGGAGCUAAUACCGGAUAACAUGUUGAACCGCAUGGUUCAACAGUGAAAGACGGUUUUGCUGUCACUUAUAGAUGGAUCCGCGCCGCAUUAGCUAGUUGGUAAGGUAACGGCUUACCAAGGCAACGAUGCGUAGCCGACCUGAGAGGGUGAUCGGCCACACUGGAACUGAGACACGGUCCAGACUCCUACGGGAGGCAGCAGUAGGGAAUCUUCCGCAAUGGGCGAAAGCCUGACGGAGCAACGCCGCGUGAGUGAAGAAGGUCUUCGGAUCGUAAAACUCUGUUAUUAGGGAAGAACAAAUGUGUAAGUAACUAUGCACGUCUUGACGGUACCUAAUCAGAAAGCCACGGCUAACUACGUG